AAGGCUAAAACUCAAAGGAAUUUGACGGGGGCCCGCACAAGCGGCGGAGCAUGUGGAUUAAUUCGAUGCAACGCGAAGAACCUUACCUGGGUUUGACAUGCACAGGACGCGUCUAGAGAUAGGCGUUCCCUUGUGGCCUGUGUGCAGGUGGUGCAUGGCUGUCGUCAGCUCGUGUCGUGAGAUGUUGGGUUAAGUCCCGCAACGAGCGCAACCCUUGUCUCAUGUUGCCAGCGGGUAAUGCCGGGGACUCGUGAGAGACUGCCGGGGUCAACUCGGAGGAAGGUGGGGAUGACGUCAAGUCAUCAUGCCCCUUAUGUCCAGGGCUUCACACAUGCUACAAUGGCCGGUACAAAGGGCUGCGAUGCCGUAAGGUUAAGCGAAUCCUUUUAAAGCCGGUCUCAGUUCGGAUUGGGGUCUGCAACUCGACCCCAUGAAGUCGGAGUCGCUAGUAAUCGCAGAUCAGCAACGCUGCGGUGAAUACGUUCCCGGGCUUUGUACACACCGCCCGUNAAG
rnacentral:rRNA from 1 species